rnacentral:rRNA from 1 species
UACCAGCACCCCGAGUGGUCGGGACGUUUAUUGGGCCUAAAGCAUCCGUAGCCGGUUCUACAAGUCUUCCGUUAAAUCCAGCUGCUUAACAGAUGGGCUGCGGAAGAUACUAUGGAGCUAGGAGACGGGAGAGGCAAGCGGUACUCGAUGGGUAGGGGUAAAAUCCGUUGAUCCAUUGAAGACCACCAGUGGCGAAGGCGGCUUGCCAGAACGCGCUCGACGGUGAGGGAUGAAAGCUGGGGGAGCAAACCGG